AAACAUACAUAAACACUUAAUAUUUUGUAAUUUCAUACACGAACUAACACUUUUAGGGAAAUACUUACAUUGAUCGUAUCUCUGUUAAUUAAUUGUUAACGGUGGCUUAUGUGGAUUAGCGGUAAGCUUAUGUGGAUUAAGAGAGUAAGACGUGGCAGAGUCACCUUUGCAUUUUUAAAAAAGGUCAUACGACGUCGUUUUCAAAGAAACUGAAGAAACAAGAAAAAAAAUGGUCGGGUGAAAAUCUUCGUCUUUGUCGAAGGCUGGGUAGGGUUUGAUAAUCAGAAGUGGCAAAACGAAUCAAGUAGUGGCGAAGGAAUCGGUUUGUUGGGAGAUUGAGGAGUGAAAAAAUGAGUGUGGAUAACGAUAUUUCCUUCAUCAUAAACUAUGAUGGGAAGUUUGAACAUAUGGAAGGAGUACUUUACUAUGUUGGAGGAAAAAUUCAUAUCCUUCAAGCUGACCCUCCUGCUCUGUUUGGUGGAAUAAGAUCAGCUGAGAUUGUCAAUAUGUAUCGUUAACGUGUUUGGUACAAGCUGCCAUAUGAAUACUUAAAAGAUCUUAAGGAAGAUCAGAUCAGUAGGUCUAUCGCAUGAACAGGUCUGACUCGUGUUCAAUUUUCAGGUUUCCGGUGUUGUUUUCUUUUGUGUUUUGAUGAUGGAAGCAUGAAGCUGGAGGCACUUCCUCUGUUCUUCCUCUGUUCUAAUUUUCAAUUAGGAAGCGGCUUAUGUUAUGACUUUCUUUUGUAAAAUUUCUUAUUUUAUGAUAAUAUGUUAUGAUACUCUUGCUUUUCAAAACAAAGCAGUUGGCUUUCUUUUGUGUUAUGAUUCGCUCUCUCAAUCUUGUU